AUUGUCGGCAGAAACAUAAGAUGGUGGGCUCCACUGAAAGGUUAAACUGCAAUAGAGUGUAGGCAACAAACUUGAAAACUGGUGAUGCUAGUAUAAAUAGUUACUAGGAACUGCGAUUCUCUGAACUAAAACAUUCGCUUCGUUCCAAUCGUGCUUUGUCCUGUGUUCCAAGCUCUCCCUUCAUCCUACUCUGAGAAUCAACAGCAUCAAAUUAGAGCUCUUGCUUUUAAGGCUUGGAGUCUCAUUUUCACUUCACACAACUGCAGAAGUUUCAGAGUUGGCUUUGUCGCAUGCACUAGUAGAAGUAUUUACUUCACACCGGAGCAAAAGUCACGAGUUUUGAUCUUUGUCACGCACCCUAACAGAGGCAACUGAUGCUGAAGGUGCAAAUAAUCCUCCUCCUCCCCUGAGGUUGAAAAUUUGACUCACUUGAAAGAUAAAUCAAAGAUUAAGACAAUGGCUGAGAGAGCUAAAACUCAUUCCAGGGGCAACAGGGGACAUAUACCAAAGAGAGGGGAAAUAAAAGCAAAAAUUUUUAGUUCUUUAUUCAAGUCACUCUUUGCAUUUGUUUGCAAGGCAUGUGGAAAAGAAGAAUCACCAAAAGAGGGUAAUAUUGGAGCAUAAUAUUUUUGAUAGUACUCGGUGUUACCGUGAUCUUUAUUAUGAAAAUAAAAUUUGAUAAGGAUAUGAUACUUGAUAUGAUAUAUUCUAGAUUCUGUGGAUUCAGGAGAAUUUAAUAAGGGUCUUGUGAUGAAUUACUACAAAGCUUAAAUGCUUGUGAUGUUGUUCUCUCCCGCCAAUGUAAUAAAGGAUAAAGUGAACUACAAUAUCUAAGGAUAUUGUGUUCUCUCAUUUCUUUCAU